rnacentral:rRNA from 1 species
UCUUGACAUCCACAGAAGUUUGCAGAGAUGCGAAUGUGCCUUCGGGAACUGUGAGACAGGUGCUGCAUGGCUGUCGUCAGCUCGUGUUGUGAAAUGUUGGGUUAAGUCCCGCAACGAGCGCAACCCUUAUCCUUUGUUGCCAGCGGUCCGGCCGGGAACUCAAAGGAGACUGCCAGUGAUAAACUGGAGGAAGGUGGGGAUGACGUCAAGUCAUCAUGGCCCUUACGACCAGGGCUACACACGUGCUACAAUGGCGCAUACAAAGAGAAGCGACCUCGCGAGAGCAAGCGGACCUCAUAAAGUGCGUCGUAGUCCGGACUGGAGUCUGCAACUCGACUCCAUGAAGUCGGAAUCGCUAGUAAUCGUGGAUCAGAAUGCCACGGUGAAUACGUUCCCGGGCCUUGUACACACCGCCCGUCACACCAUGGGAGUGGGUUGCAAAAGAAGUAGGUAGCUUAACCUUCGGGAGGGCGCUUACCACUUUGUGAUUCAUGACUGGGGUGAAGUCGUAACAAGGUAACCGUAGGGGAACCUGCGGUUGGAUCACCUCCUUACCUGAAAGAA